rnacentral:tRNA from 1 species
UGACUUGUGGUGUAAUAGGCAGCACAUAAGGCUCUGAGUCUUAAGAUCCUGGUUCGAAUCCUUGCAAGUAAACAA